CCUACGGGAGGCAGCAGUGAGGAAUAUUGGUCAAUGGGCGUAAGCCUGAACCAGCCAAGUCGCGUGAGGGAUGAAGGUUCUAUGGAUCGUAAACCUCUUUUAUAAGGGAAUAAAGUGCGGGACGUGUCCCGUUUUGUAUGUACCUUAUGAAUAAGGAUCGGCUAACUCCGUCCCAGCAGCCGCGGUCAUACGGAGGAACCGAGGGUUAUCCGGAUUUAUUGGGUUUAAGGGGUACGUCGGCGGCCUUUUAAGUCAGCGGUGAAAGUCUGUGGCUCAACCAUAGAAUGGCCGUUGACACUGGAAGGCUUGAGUAUGUUUGAGGCUGGCGGAAUGCGUGGUGUAGCGGUGAAAUGCUUAGAUAUCACGCAGAACCCCGAUUGCGAAGGCAGCCUACCAAGCCAUGACUGACGCUGAUGCACGAAAGCGUGGGGAUCAAACAGGAUUAGAUACCCGUGUAGUC
rnacentral:rRNA from 1 species